CACGUAGGGGGCGAGCGUUGUCCGGAUUUAUUGGGCGUAAAGAGCUCGUAGGCGGUUUGUCGCGUCUGCCGUGAAAGUCCGGGGCUCAACUCCGGAUCUGCGGUGGGUACGGGCAGACUAGAGUGAUGUAGGGGAGACUGGAAUUCCUGGUGUAGCGGUGGAAUGCGCAGAUAUCAGGAGGAACACCGGUGGCGAAGGCGGGUCUCUGGGCAGUAACUGACGCUGAGGAGCGAAAGCGUGGGGAGCGAACAGG
rnacentral:rRNA from 1 species